AGUGAACGCUGGCGGUAGGCCUAACACAUGCAAGUCGAACGGCAGCACAGUAAGAGCUUGCUCUUACGGGUGGCGAGUGGCGGACGGGUGAGGAAUACAUCGGAAUCUACUUUUUCGUGGGGGAUAACGUAGGGAAACUUACGCUAAUACCGCAUACGACCUACGGGUGAAAGCAGGGGAUCUUCGGACCUUGCGCGAUUGAAUGAGCCGAUGUCGGAUUAGCUAGUUGGCGGGGUAAAGGCCCACCAAGGCGACGAUCCGUAGCUGGUCUGAGAGGAUGAUCAGCCACACUGGAACUGAGACACGGUCCAGACUCCUACGGGGGGCAGCAGUGGGGAAUAUUGGACAAUGGGCGCAAGCCUGAUCCAGCCAUACCGCGUGGGUGAAGAAGGCCUUCGGGUUGUAAAGCCCUUUUGUUGGGAAAGAAAAGCAGCAGGUUAAUACCACGCUGUUCUGACGGUACCCAAAGAAUAAGCACCGGCUAACUUCGUU
rnacentral:rRNA from 1 species